AGAGGUUGAUCAUGGCUCAGAUUGAACGCUGGCGGCAGGCCUAACACAUGCAAGUCGAACGGUAACAGGAAGAAGCUUGCUUCUUUGCUGACGAGUGGCGGACGGGUGAGUAAUGUCUGGGAAACUGCCUGAUGGAGGGGGAUAACUACUGGAAACGGUAGCUAAUACCGCAUAACGUCGCAAGACCAAAGAGGGGGACCUUCGGGCCUCUUGCCAUCGGAUGUGCCCAGAUGGGAUUAGCUAGUAGGUGGGGUAACGGCUCACCUAGGCGACGAUCCCUAGCUGGUCUGAGAGGAUGACCAGCCACACUGGAACUGAGACACGGUCCAGACUCCUACGGGAGGCAGCAGUGGGGAAUAUUGCACAAUGGGCGCAAGCCUGAUGCAGCCAUGCCGCGUGUAUGAAGAAGGCCUUCGGGUUGUAAAGUACUUUCAGCGGGGAGGAAGGGAGUAAAGUUAAUACCUUUGCUCAUUGACGUUACCCGCAGAAGAAGCACCGGCUAACUCCGUGCCAGCAGCCGCGGUAAUACGGAGGGUGCAAGCGUUAAUCGGAAUUACUGGGCGUAAAGCGCACGCAGGCGGUUUGUUAAGUCAGAUGUGAAAUCCCCGGGCUCAACCUGGGAACUGCAUCUGAUACUGGCAAGCUUGAGUCUCGUAGAGGGGGGUAGAAUUCCAGGUGUAGCGGUGAAAUGCGUAGAGAUCUGGAGGAAUACCGGUGGCGAAGGCGGCCCCCUGGACGAAGACUGACGCUCAGGUGCGAAAGCGUGGGGAGCAAACGGGAUUAGAUACCCUGGUAGUCCACGCCGUAAACGAUGUCGACUUGGAGGUUGUGCCCUUGAGGCGUGGCUUCCGGAGCUAACGCGUUAAGUCGACCGCCUGGGGAGUACGGCCGCAAGGUUAAAACUCAAAUGAAUUGACGGGGGCCCGCACAAGCGGUGGAGCAUGUGGUUUAAUUCGAUGCAACGCGAAGAACCUUACCUGGUCUUGACAUCCACGGAAGUUUUCAGAGAUGAGAAUGCGCCUUCGGGAACCGUGAGACAGGUGCUGCAUGGCUGUCGUCAGCUCGUGUUGUGAAAUGUUGGGUUAAGUCCCGCAACGAGCGCAACCCUUAUCCUUUGUUGCCAGCGGUCCGGCCGGGAACUCAAAGGAGACUGCCAGUGAUAAACUGGAGGAAGGUGGGGAUGACGUCAAGUCAUCAUGGCCCUUACGACCAGGGCUACACACGUGCUACAAUGGCGCAUACAAAGAGAAGCGACCUCGCGAGAGCAAGCGGACCUCAUAAAGUGCGUCGUAGUCCGGAUUGGAGUCUGCAACUCGACUCCAUGAAGUCGGAAUCGCUAGUAAUCGUGGAUCAGAAUGCCACGGUGAAUACGUUCCCGGGCCUUGUACACACCGCCCGUCACACCAUGGGAGUGGGUUGCAAAAGAAGUAGGUAGCUUAACCUUCGGGAGGGCGCUUACCACUUUGUGAUUCAUGACUGGGGUGAAGUCGU
rnacentral:rRNA from 1 species